ACCUUCUUUAUAAGCAUGGUGCUAAAAUUGCAGAAACUAGGAUUAUUUCUUAGUUUCUGUAGUAAUACUAGCAGAAUACACAAAGAAGAAAAGUAACUGCACUAGAUUGUAAAGACUGUUGUGGUCCUCUUUCU
rnacentral:snoRNA from 1 species